GAUAACGGCGUCGAGCGGCGGACGGGUGAGUAAUGCCUAGGAAAUUGCCUUGAUGUGGGGGAUAACCAUUGGAAACGAUGGCUAAUACCGCAUGAUGCCUACGGGCCAAAGAGGGGGACCUUCGGGCCUCUCGCGUCAAGAUAUGCCUAGGUGGGAUUAGCUAGUUGGUGAGGUAAUGGCUCACCAAGGCGACGAUCCCUAGCUGGUCUGAGAGGAUGAUCAGCCACACUGGAACUGAGACACGGUCCAGACUCCUACGGGAGGCAGCAGUGGGGAAUAUUGCACAAUGGGCGCAAGCCUGAUGCAGCCAUGCCGCGUGUAUGAAGAAGGCCUUCGGGUUGUAAAGUACUUUCAGCAGUGAGGAAGGGGGUGUCGU
rnacentral:rRNA from 1 species